CCUUCGAUAGCUCAGUUGGUAGAGCGGUGGACUGUAGAAGCAAGCUUUGCAAGCAAGAAAUAGUAAUCCAUAGGUCACUGGUUCAAAUCCGGUUCGAAGGA
rnacentral:tRNA from 1 species